UACGUAGGCAGCGAGCGUUGUUCGGAGUUACUGGGCGUAAAGGGUGUGUAGGCGGCCCCCUAAGUUUGGUGUGAAAUCUCCCGGCUCAACCGGGAGGGUGCGCCGAAAACUGGAGGGCUAGAGUGCGGGAUGGGAGAGUGGAAUUCCUGGUGUAGCGGUGAAAUGCGUAGAUAUCGGGAGGAACACCUGUGGCGAAAGCGGCGCACUGGACCAUAACUGACGCUGAGGCGCGAAAGCUAGGGGAGCAAACAGG
rnacentral:rRNA from 1 species